UAAAACAUUACUGCCCACAGAUUACUAUGGGAAUAUUUCCAGUAAUACAAAUUCCAUUUGUGUCUUUCUAUUAAACCAUGUUAUUCCUCAAGUAAAUAAAAAAAAAAAAAAAAAAAAAAAAAAAAAAAAAAAAAAAAAAAAGAGUUUGGGAGUUUGGGUAGGUAGGGUUGUGUGUCACCUGUGAUGAUGCUACCCUGAACUUGUUGUGUUCCUUGUGCUCAUUUGCUCCAUGGGUGGGGAUUGUGCUUUAUUAUAACUAUUUUUGUAAGCUGGAAAAAGAAAUUGGAAUUAGUCAAAAGAUACAUCACAGAAUAAUUGUGAAGUCUUGUUCUAAGGUCAUUUUAAGCCACCAAAUUGGUAACUGAUGAGUCCACCAGAGCUGAGGGUUUGGAAGUUCCAUUGUGUACUUUUGUUGGGUGACUGAGCUGUAUUUCUCUAUUCUGGUUUGCAUACUUUAUUUCUUUAUAACACAAUGGUACGACAGAGCAUAUUGUGUGUUUUUUACAAGAAAAGAGCUUCAGCAAUCUAGAAGAGUGAGAACUUUCCCAUGCUGGCACUGGCAGCGAACUCUUGUUUUGGGGAUCCUCUGCCAAAAUCAACCUCCUUGUACCGAAGCACACUGAACAGAACUUUCAGGACGAGAAUUUUUGUACCAGUGAAUAAACACUUCAAGGGUGUUAAAGGGUAUAAUGGAAGUGUAAAAGUGAUUUCUAAAGAAACUCACUGCAGCCUGGAAACCAUAAAAAAGCCAUAGCAAAGUGGCUCUGGAGUAGAAGUGUGUCAGAGUUUUGACACAAGGGCUUUUUGAUAUGGAGACCGCAUCAACUCAACCUCAAGGCAAAACUUGCCUCUCCACAAUUUCUUAUUGAUGCUGUCCCAUAGUUUGUCCUUCCACUUAGGGGCACAGGAGGGUGACAGGUGGCAAUGCUUUACACUUCUCAACAACCAAAGUGUUUGACUGUAGAUCUCUGUGUGACCUGUUUCUUUUAACCAGCAGUGAAGCCCAACUUUUAACCUAGGUGGAAUAAAAUCAGAAUGAGGUGCCAUGUCUGAUCUUUUUCUGAGGUCUCACAGUAAGACCUCAGCAUGGCCCAUCUUUGAAUACGGCACAUCUGUAAGUAUCUGUAAGAAGCUAAAAAACCUGCUAUCCGAAAUAGCUGAACAUACUGUUUAAAGGUGCUUAUGUGAGUUUUCCAGAAGGCUCUGAUGCAAAUCACUUCCUUCCCAGAAAGGGUGUUCAAAGGAAAGUAUGCAGCAACUUACUUAGAGAUGCAGAGGUAACAGUAAACAUAAGAACAAUCAGAACAAUAAUUAAAAGGGAAUGUAUUUGCUCAGUCAUCUGAUGAAUACACAUAUCUACUGAUGCUCCCAGGCUCCAGCUGUUGAAUGUCACAGAGAGUAACAGCCUGUGGGUGGUUCUUGCCAUGGGAACUAGGUUUAAUGUAAUAUCAUAAAACUCUAGCCAUUCAAAACAAUAAUAAAAAGCCCUAUUGCAGUGGGGGUUUCUGCAUGCUGGGAUGUCUUCUCCAUCCUGGGGUCAGUGUUUGGUGCCACUCCAGCACUGCUGCAGAGAGUACACUUGGCCAGCUCCUUAAAUAAAAAGUAAUCCCUUGUCUUCAGCAAAGCCUCUCUGAUUUAUGCUGAUGAGGGUCUGGCUCUGUGUCCUGUCAGCUCUGUAGAAUUGUUUUCUACCUUCCCUGGAAACAGGUGAAAGAAAUCCCAGCACUGUCAUGCUGGAUGAGUUUUUCACCUGUAAUGGACGGCUUUUGAAAUUGUCCCAAACAAGACAUCUUUUCCUAGGAAAGGAAGUGGCAAAACAAAGCAUCAAGAAUAUUUAAUCUAGCAAUAAAGAAGGUAAUGUAUUGGAAGAGCUGCCUGAUAAAAGCUGCACAGUAGAAGCAAAUAUUUGAGAUUAAAUUAAGGGAGGAAAACAAGGUUAGGGAGAAAUAAUUAACAGUGUGGAUUGAUUACACAUAGCAGUAUGGAGUGUAUGGAGUGAUUACACAUAGCAGUAUCAGCACAUUCAUGAACCAUUGUAAAAUGGCUAUUCAUCAGCUGUCCAUAAUUACUGUAGAGACACACAUGUUAAAUAGUAAAGGAAACCAUUUAAUAAUGGUUCCUUUCAUUUUCAUUGCUUCAUGCUGAUUAGAGAAGCAAACCCUAAUACUUUGUUGCUCCUUUCUGUAUUUUUAGGUGCAUAGUGGAAAGAGCAGAAAAACCCUGGUUUUUUUCUGCAUCACUGCCUUCCUCACUGCUCAUGGGGUAGGGGCCAGGGGAGUAGGUAUGUGGGUUGGGAGUGUUCUGGCAAGAGAAAACAAACUGACGUAUUUCUCUACUGCAAUAUCUUAUUUUAGUCUCCUUUUACUUUUUUUUUAAGCGAUAAAAGCUCACCAUGUGGCGUAUUCUGUAUUAAGCCAGGAUAAAAAUACAGCUCUUGCUCCAAGUUUGUAAUCAUAAAUCCAGGAGGUAGCUCCUUGCAUUUUAGGAGAAAGAUCUCAAUUAUGGCCAUGUAAUAGUUCUGGAGCAAAAAACAAUGUAGUCAAUCUUGUGAUAAUUACUGCUAAUGGGUGCUAAGCACAACAGUUGCAACAGCCUUGUUGUUUCCCACUGGCAAAUUGGGAAAUUGGCAUUUUCUGGACACCAACAAAUACAAGAGGAGUUCAGAAUUCAGAAUUUCAGACUGUCUCCUUAAAAAAAGCUACAGCAAUGCAGGAAGAAAGAAAAAAACCCUUUCAAACAUACAAGUGCUGAAUUCGCCAGGACAGUGGCUGCCUUUCCAGAGGAAAAAGUCGGCUUGCAGCUCUGUGGAUUGACAGUACAAAAUGCUGCCAAAAGCUCUUCACUGAUGAUUUGCUAAGAUUGCUAAGGGUAACUUGCUUCAACAGCAGAUAAAAACUUCAGGAUGGAAACAAGACUCAUCACUUGUCAUCGCUGCUUUCUUACCUUCUGUAGUCCUUUCCUGGGAAGAUUAUGUGACAAGAUGGAAACCACAAAUAUCUGUGUCCUCACAGGAUAGAUUUCUUCUGCUCCAGCUGUUGUUGGUUGAAGGCCAAGUCCUCCCACCUCCUACCCUCCUACCCCUAGUCCCUGGCUGUUUCCUGGCUGCCAGGGCUGAAAAAAGUCCUCUGCCCAAACCCGUAAGUGCUCUGUGCUUUCCAGAAAUGGAACAAACAAUAGGUUUGUGUUGUAAAGGAUAAGCUACCAGGAUGAAGAGGUUUCCAACUGUGGGUGAUGGAACUGUCUACUGGAACAACCCUCAUUUCUUCAACAUGUUAUUUCAUAUUUGCUUCGGGUUCAUGAGCAUCAAAUGAAGGUAAAUCAGAGGGAGUCCUGUGUUACCGACAGAUCCAAAAUGGGAACAGAUAGAGAUUUUUUUUCCUUUUCGGAAUCAAUGAGGAAUGUGUUAAGCAUGAAGUGUAAACUAAAUAUUAUGGCCAUAUUGGAUAACCUGGCCUCUUGCACAGUGAAAUACAGACAUUAAUAUUUGACUUUACCUGGUGUUCAGUCAAAUCUUAAUGCACUCAGUGAAAGCCACUAUUUCUUCCAGAGUAAGGCCCUUUUCAUCCCUAAAAUCCAGUGGAUCAGUGCAGGACUUCUGUCUCCAGGAAAGACAGCCAGACUAGAACUCUGGUCUCUGUAGAUCACAAUGGCUGUGACUUUUGUGAACAACAAUAAACAUUCUCCAUGCUGCUAAGUCAGCUACACAAUGACCUUCCACCUGUCAGGUGGUAGGACAAGCUUAUGCACCUUCACUGUGCUCUGUUACUUUUUGCCAGUUACUUCAGCAAUUUCUUGUAAUUCUCCACUUGCAUUAUUUCUUGCAAUGGUCUGAGCCCCACCUAUGAUGCAGUUGCUAUUUCUGGUGGUGGGCUUACUUUCCUUUUUUCAAAAAAUGUUAUGACAUUUAAGCAUUUAGGUAUUCAGCUGGAGAGUAAGAAUCUAACACACACAUAAAUGUGAAAAUCCUAAAACACAUAAAUUCCUUCCGAUGCUUGAAGAACAGCCUUCACAACCUGCACCACAUGGAAUGAAGACAGCAGGACUUCCUCUCUCCCACACCUACCUCAAAAUUCUUUGGAUCAAACAAUGAGGGGAGGUAAAGAGUGGGCAGAGGGCAGUCAGUGACAGCAUGAAGCAAUGUGUGUAGGUAAAGGCCUCAAGCACUAAGGGUUAAUAUGCAAAGAUAACAAAAAGAUAAUUGUUGGCAAGAAGGCAUAGAAAAGCACAUUUCAUGGGGAAAGAAAACUUGAUUUGCAGAACACUGCAGUGCAUUAUCUGAUAAAAUGGGUAUCAGAAUGACGCAGAUCUGAGAUGGACAGAAUCUGAACCUCCAAAGCUGAAAUUUUAACAAGAAAUCUCUAAUGAGGUGAUGGGGAAGCUAAACAAGUCAAGUGUUCACCACCAUAAAUUGCAUGGGGAAGCUAAAGAAGUCAAGAUUUCACCUCCAUAAAUUGCAGGUGCUUUUUAUUCCUGUAUGAGACAGCUCUGCAAUUCUUUAUUCUGGCUAGAGAUUGAUUGAUACUCGAUUUUGCCUUUGUCUGAGAAUAUUUUCACUUUGCUCUCUGUGACACUAUGACCUUUUGAGUUCAAAUCCUUCACUGACUCAUUAAUACUCAGAAAAGCACCAUGUAUUAAUUAUCAAGCUGUUGUGAAUCAUGACCUUCCUGUGCCCAGUAACUUCCCUCCCAGAAACAUAUGCUCUUUAGGUUCUUCUUUUCAUUAUAAAAAGAACCCUGUGGUCCUGUACAGAUGCUAAACCCCAUGACAGGAGUGAGAUUUCUUUAAAUUCCACUGAGUUUGUAACUUGAUUUUUUGGUAUAGAAUUUAACGCAUUUAAUGCAUACUUAAAUAGAUGCUACUUCAUUAUCCAUUUAACACAUAGCAGUUCAAGUGGUGGCCCUUACAAUGAUUUAUUUCAGGCUGCUGCAGUGAAAGGCCACAGCAGUAAUUUCUGUCAGUGUAAUUCCUACAAAAGUUCCUUUUUCAGCAAGAAAAUUUACCAAUAAACACACAACAGGCUUCACUCUAAAAAUUGCUGAACUUGAUGGAAAACAUCAUUAAAAGAAGGAAUAUUUGAAUCAUGCCUUUAAGGAUGAAAACGGCCUAUACAGUGGCUUGACCUUUCCUCUUCUAUGAUUUGGUGUUGCCAAAGCUCAUCUGCAAUUACUUGCCAGUUUCAUUUCUGGAAAGUUUUAAUACAAGUAAGACAAAGUAUUCAACAGAUGUAAUAAGGGCCAUAAGGCUUCUAAAUUAACUGAGAUGCUCAAUUAACUGAGAUGCUCAUAAAUCAGAAAUGAGAGCUUGCACCCUCCUGUUUUAUAUAUCUAGAUAUGAAUAUCUGUGUGGUUGUACAUACUGAAUUCUUGAUUAUUAAAACCUCAGAAAUACUUUGCCUGGAUCACUCAAAGCACCUUAGUUUUGUGGUAGAAAAAUAGGUAUCUCAUAAGAGCAAGUCUUCAGGCACUGAACUAGGAGAAGAUCAGAGAUUUCCGGGGACUAAUUCCUAUGCACACCAAGGCUCUUUAAAGGACUUGCUGGGUGGAACUUACCAGAGUGACUGUAGGUGUCUGCAGUGUAUUCCUUGGGGCACAUUUUUUUGGGGGUUUUUUUGGUGAGUUUUGAAAACACCAUCAUUCAUGGUAAAGAGAAGGAGGCACUUCCAAGGAAUGGUUUAGGUGAUCUUGUCCUAAGGAGGCUGCUGUUCAGGCACUGCUGUUCAGCCAGUGCCUGAACAGCAGCCUACCUCUACAAACUAUAACUGUAAAGAUAUAGUAGAUUGAGGAAAUAAUAUAUUAUGUCUUCACUGCAGGCAUGUAAAGUUAGGAGGGACAAUGAAGUGAAAUUGCUGUUGAUAGAACCCACAGGAGUAGCCCAUUUUUGUUAAAUGAAGUUAAAUAGGUUCAAUAUUUUAUGUCAAAAUAUAAUGCAGAAAGGAACUUUGCCAUUGCCAAGGGGUGUUUUUGAAGUUAAAGUGAUGCAGAGGAGUAAAAACAUAACCAGAGUAAAGGAACAGGUAUGGCUAUUCAAGUGUGUACUAAAGACAGGAAAGAAAAGCUGAUAGCUGUCACAAAAGUCACAAUGGGCAGAUACAACCCAAAAAGCUCAUUAAAUUGUUGAAAGAACAACACUUUUUGCAGAAAGAAAGGCCAGGUGUUGGACUGCUGUAUGGAAAAUCUGUACAGCUCCUCUCCUUCUGUUGCUGUUUGCUUCCAUCUUGUCAUGUUUGAAAUAUUUCUUCUGCCCUAUAUGGGCUUCCAGAAUUCUUUUGUCUCAAAUAACCUGAACUACCCAACACACUCAGGAAUUCAUGGUGCAUCUCUAAUACGUGUUCUUGCAUGAAAAACCUGAAAGCCAAGUACCUGUUUCAGGUCCCCUUUGCCACUAAAAAACUCCAGUCUCUGGGGAGAUCCUGCAGAAUCAUUUGCCACAAGUUGUUUUGCAGAGUAAAAUGGUUUUUUUUCCUAGGACUUACGCAUGGCUGUACCUAAAAGUAAAUUAUAUAUAACUGAGCAACCUGCUGGAGCGUAUCCCUGCCCAUGAAGGGAUGGGUGGAACCAGGUGGUUUUUAACAUCUCCUUCAACCCAAACCAUUCUGUGAUUCUGUGGUCAGAACAUGCCCAAAGCAGGCUCCUGGUCUGCAUGCCUGGAGGAUGAAUAUCUGAACCUUGGAAAGAACUCGGCUCUGGUUGAGUACCUGGGCUGCCAGGCACCCUGACAAAGAGUAACCCUGACAAAGAGUAACAUUUUGUGCAACCUAAGAGGUGACAUCAGAAGAAAAAUGAAAUGAGCCUCUGUGAUUCAGAUGAGAGCAGGGAUAAAAGUAGAUGAUAUGAAUACAAUAUUUUUACUCUAUCUCCUCUGUCUGUGGACAAGCUUUUAAACUUCUUUGCCAUAUAUUGUAGAGAGCUUCUUAAGAGUGAUUUAGAACAUGGAUGCAUGUUCCAUCUGGGCAGCCAGCACAUUCAUCCUGUAGCUACCCCCUUGUCGCUAAACAGGAGGCUGAACAUUCUCCAGUGGACACAAAUGCUGUAUUUGUCAGUUUCCACUGGCAAGAGAUGAUGUCUAAAACCUGUACAGUUGGAAAAUGAGGGGGGAGGGGCAUCUCUGGCACAAAACUGCCUGUUUGUCUAGAGGAAUUAGCUUUUAAGGUGGCAGGACAUUGCUUCAAGAUCUCUACAACCUACUGGCUCCUAUUGUACAUCCUUGGAAAGGGGGCAGCCACCUUGGAUGGACACUGCAGAAGUGUGGCUUUAGUGACCUGCCCUGGUUAAGAGUUUUACACAGAAAAUACAUAGCAAAUUCCUCAAAUUCAAGACAUAGUCCAGUAAAUUAAUUCUCCUCCCUCCCCACUGCUUUACUUCUGCUCUGGUUCCUGUCUCGCUGGCUGCUCCUCCUUUCAGCAGCUUGAUGAUAUUUCUAUAUUCUCUUCUAUAUCAUUAAUGCAUUUAAAGGUCCAACUGAGAUAGCUCUAAUUCUGUCCUUCCUGACUGUUCACAACCUCAGACGGGAUUUGCCAUUUAUGGCUGACAGCCUGAAGAAAUUACAUGUCUUACAUCACCUCGAAAAGGCUGCUCCUCUAUUUUGGGCUUUAUUUUUAAAAUAAAUUUCAAAAGCACAGUACAAAGGGCACAUGCACACUGAAAGCAGCAGAAGGAUGUUUAGAAGCAUAUUUAAAUUAAAAAGGUUAUUUCUCCCUCCUCCUCCCUUCUUUUUGAAAUCAGUCUCCACCACUAAAAAGAAAGAGGUAAACAUAUCUGGGAAGAAACACCCAAGCAUAAAAUCUUUUAGUCACAUAAAAAAUGCUUUUAUUAACUAAAUAAAAUGUGGUGCCUAUAAAUGUGUGACCUGUUGUGACCCAAACAUUUCCUAAACCGAAGCUUUAACUCUUAGAGAGAACUUUGAAUAGCCACAGCUCAGGCCCUGUGUGAGCAAAGGUUAAACCAUUGCCAUUUUCUAUUACAACUACUCUUUCAGACUAAGAUUUUGGAGGCAAAUGCAUGAAUGACAUACACAAAAUUAUUCUGCAGCGCAUAUAAUGGCAGGCAGUCUCUUUCGUAAAAUCUGAGUUGUCUUAUUCCCACAAUGGGAACUGGUAACUACUCAGAGGCUUAGAUUUAUUCCAUGAAGCAGGGAAGUGCUUUUUUAGGAAAGGAUAGUAAUCCCACUGAUGUAAUGGAAUCACUGAGGUUACUAACCAGCAGUGAUCAGUGUUUCUGUUCUGGACCAAGAUCUGUGUUUGCAGCACCUGACAUGCUUCAAUGUUCUGCACUAAGCUUCAACAGCACAGCUUCAGAACAAUUUAAUUUUCCUUGGAGCUGUAGGAAUUUCCCAAUACCUGUUUUAAAAACUCCCAAUGUGGUCACAUUAAUAAUGCUGAAAAUUAAGAUGUAAUCUGAUAGAAUUUGAUUUGAUUGAUGAGGAGAUGCCCAUGCAAAGAGUAGAGGGCUAACCUCAUUUUUGAGUCAACAUUGUGGCUUCACACAAGAGUGUAAGAGAUAUAAGGGAUAUCCCUGGAGCUGGGGAAAUUCAGCUGAACGCUCUCAUCUGCUUCUUCAGAAUGCUUUGAAGAAAUCACAUAUAAUGGACUUUUGUGCCUUAUAUUGAUGAAGAUGUUAAUGUAAUAUUUAUGAUACUUUUUGCUUGGAGGGGAAUGGCAGAUUAUUAGAAGUGAUUUGCUUUAAGCCAUAAAUCAAUUUUAGAGCGCCUAAGGUCAGCCACAAAACUGUUGUUCUUUGUUUAUAACAUUUUUGGUAGAAACCAUCUAGUUAACAUUGCAGGAAGUGAGUAAGGCACUGCACUCGCAAAGUCAAAACUGUCUGGUCAUUAGCCUGCCUGCAAGGUUUCACUAAUGUAACAGAUGGAGCCUGGCCUUUGCUGUCUGGAGGGACAUAUGUAACAUUUAUUCAGAUAGUUCACAAAAGCAAGAUGUAUGCCCUGUUUUCAUGUUAUUAAAAUUACUUUUUUACAGUGGCACAAUAAUCUAUCAGUUCAGUCCCUUGAGACAAAUACAUGGUGGAUGGUUUCUGUAUCAGCAGUUAGGUCAUGAGUACAAAACUGUGGGCAAUACAAUCACACCUUCACUGCAGAAAGUGCCGCAUGAGCAAGGGACUGUUGCUGAUGCCAUUGUUUCCCCUGGAGUGACUGUCUGGUGCAGAGGAUGCUCUGGUGUCAGCUGCAGCUACCUAUUGUCUCUGCAAGCCAUUCUGCCCGGAUCACUACUUAGUGGCAAAUAAAUUAAGAGUAGUCUUAUAAAAGGGCUGGACUUAAAUUUCCUGUGGGAAGGGGGAGAGAGCAGGUGGAGGAAAUUCUGGGAAGUCUGAGCUCUUUGCAGAUGGGUUGUCUACAAUACCGCUCAUCUCCUCCCAUGAUGGCUCCCCAGCAGAAACAACACUGCAAAUCAAACGCCUGACUACUUGUAAAGUGAAUUCCACUGUUUUGAAGCAUAAGGCAGGAUUUUUCAAAAUAUUUCAGUUCUGCUGUGUUUUAUUUAGCUUUCAUGGGGAAUUUUGCCAGCAGUGUCUUUGCCAGCAAUGUUAUGACCAGUGAAAUACUUGAAAAAUCCUACCUGAAGAGGACCAAUGUUUUUGUCUUAUUCUGUGCAGUUGUUUUGUUUGACUAGAUGUCAGGAUGAUCUGAAUCAUCCAACUGAGUUAAAUAACUCCUGUCAAAGGGACCUUGGAACUGAACUCAAACCCUUAAUCUGCAUGUAGAACUACUAUUCUUCUCUGCAUUGGAGAACACCAGAAUACUUCACAUUUCUCCUCACCUUCAAUCUUUUAAAUCCUUCCCCCUGCACUCUUAAGGGCGUUUAAAGGUCCUAUCUCACUGAACUUUCUUCCUGAAAUGCCACCAGGUUGUAAGUAAUUGCAACCACUGUUUUCCACAAAGAUCACUUUCUGAUUUUGUUAGAAGCCAUAAAUUAAGCAGCAGUGAAUUCUGAGUGAAGAAAGGCUGAGUUAAUAACAACAGA